GAUAUAAAAAAACCAUUUUUUAUUUUGUUUGAAAAGAUGAUUUCGUAACUAUACAGGAAAAUGUUCUUAUUUUUUAGAAAUCUGUACUAAAGAUUUAGGGGUAAAAUAUCAUUUUCUUUAAUAUACUUUCAAACACAAGCAAAAAAUAAUCAUGACACAAAUAUAGGAAAAUGUUUACAAUCUAUGUUCUAUGUUUGCCUAUGAGUGCCAUUAAUCUCAUCUCUCUGCUUUUCUGAAAGUUUGAAAAUUUCAAAGUUUUAUAAUAAAUUUUUUUACAUCCCAUAAUUUUAUAAUAAAUUUUUUAAAGUUUGAAGCAAAUCAACAACUAUAGCUUCAAAAAUAUCCUGACCCACAAUAAACAUUGAACAGGGUAUAUUUCUCCCAUUUCCUAAAAAAGUUGGCGCAGGUCGAUGGACGACAGCACGCUCUGGAUAAAGUUGGGCAGGUAGUUGCGCUGGCCCUCGAAGAGGCCGGUGGGUCGCCGCAGACCCCCGCCGCCGGCCGGCCGCUGGUCCUCGUAGGGCGCGGUGGGCACUGUCAGCACCGGGAUGGGGCUCCCCUCCAUGGCGCCUCCUGGCCGGUCCUGCUGCGGCUCCCGGAGCCGGAGGGAAUCUGCAGCCUGCCGGGGGCCUCCACCAGCCUGGCUGCGCGCCGGGACUCCGCCUCGCGCCCGGGCCCCCUCUCCAGCAGGUCGGCGCCCUGCGCCCUGCACCCGCCCGCCUGGGGACCGCCCGCCCCUCCUCUCCGCGCGGCCGCUCGGCUGACUCUCUCGGCAGAGAUUGCUUCUGCCUUCCUGUAAAGUUUUCUCCCACCCACCUUCUCCGCUGCCAGACCGCCCGAGCUGCCCUCAGUUUCUCCCCAAGUUGGACUCACUUUCGGGGUGUCCCAAAAGCCUGAUUCCAGGGCCUGCUAGCCCGACCCCGGUGACGCCUCCACCCGCGCCUGGCCCCAGCCUUCACCCGCGAUCGCCGCCCUCCGGGGCACACCCUCCGCCAGAAAACAGCCGGCGGGCGGCGAGACUUUGGGCAGAGUCCGGGUUCCUCUCCGGCGCCCGGCCCGUCUCCCUGUCUCCCUGGGAGUGCGCAGCCUACACACACCAGUUUCUCUUUAGAACAAGGACGGGGAGGGAUUUGGGAGGGGGCUGAAACCUUUUGCCAUCAGCGAACAGCCUCAGCCAAAAAUAACCCUGGAAAGGCGAGCUAAGAAUGGUUAUCUCCUGCCAGCGCUGAAAUCGGAGGCUGGGCGCUGCGUGUGGGGUGUGUGUGUGUGUGUGUGUGUGUGUGUGUACCCUCCCACCCCGACCAUUUGUUGAAGGGAAUCACCACUGUCAGACUUCAAUCCAACAGGACCCACUCGAGCCAUCCACACUUUCCCCAGCCUCCUCCAAAACAGCACACUUUCCGGUAUGGACAAUUCUUUUUUUUUUUUUUUUUUUUUUUCACUUGUUUGUUUGUUGUGGUGGUUGCAACAGCAGCAACACAGACGACACAUAUUUCCCUAUUCUUCUCGCCCUUCUCACCCUCCCUACCCAGCUCCUGCCUUAGAAAUAGGCUUUCCUACACUGUAUCUGUCCACACUGUCUGAACUCUUCCUUGAAUUAAUCGUUUUCAAUAGGAGGGGGCUAAAUCCCUUAUUAAUGCCCUACCAGGAGUGAAUGAAUAAAGCCAAGUUAAAGGAGACCUGGGUACCAGAUACUGUGCUAGGUUCCUUUGCAUGUAUCCUUUCAUUCUGCUGGAGCUAAAGAUUUUCUGCCUCCUCUCCAUAAAACGCACCCAAACUCCAAAACCAGGAAAUUCUCCAUAGAAAAUAGGAGUGAAGAGAGAAAAGACUAACAGGAUAAAACCCAAAGCAGGAAGAAAGUUCUAUCUCCCAUUUCUCUCAAGGAAUUUUUGGACCCACCAAGGCUACUGUCCUGAAAUAUCCUGCUGCUUCUCCUUCCCCAAAUAUUGUCCACUUACUGAGAGUAAGGCUGACUUGCCGCAGGCUUAUAAAGUGUUUGGUCACAGUAAGACAACUGUGAGUAAUAACACACAUUGUAUACUGUUUUGCAAUUGAUUAAAGGCUUUGCAUCUGUUUUUUCUUUGGAGGCUGAAGAAAAGAAGAAUGGUAUUCAUGCAGUUCCCAUUUUACAGAUGAAAACAAGAGGACUUUUUCUGUGAAGUCAAGAAAGUGGUUACAAUGGUACUUUCAGCCUGUCCGAAUUAUGUAUUGCCCCUCCCCUUUUUAUUAAUAACAUUGAAGUGUGAUGGGACAACCACUGAAGCCGUCUGUUGAAACCUGCUGGGACUUUUUAGCCAUUCUCUUCAACAUAAAGAAUGGGUGUUUUUGGAGGGGGUGAGAGGAAUGGGGAAAUGUUGUCAAAGAGUACAAUGUUUUAGUUGAGACAGGAGGAAUAUAUUUUGUUGAGAUCUACAGCACAGCAUGGUGACUGUAGUUAACAAUGAAGUAUUGUGUAUUUCAAAAUUGCUAAGACAAUAAAUUUCAAAUGUUCUCACCACAAAAAAGAUAGGUUUUGAGGUGAUGAAUCUAUUAAUUCUCUGGAUUUAAUUAUUCC
rnacentral:lncRNA from 1 species